CGCGAGGUUGCCUUGGUAUAUU
rnacentral:miRNA from 15 species